rnacentral:lncRNA from 1 species
UGAUGAUGUGCAUGUGAACUUUACUCGUGAAGAAUGGGCUUUGCUGAAUCCUUCACAGAAGAGCCUCUACAAAGAUGUGAUGUUGGAGACCUACAGGAACCUCAAUGCUAUAGGCUACAAUUGGGAAGACAAUAAUAUUGAAGAACAUUGUCAAAGUUCCAGAAGACAUGGAAGGCAUGAAAGAAGACUUACUGGAGAGAAACCCUCUGAAAAUAUUCAGUGUGGUAAAGACUUUGCAAGUCACAGUUAUCCUCAAAGGCAUGAAAAAAUUCAUACUGGAGAGAAACCCUAUGAAGGUAUUCAGUAUGGUGAAGCCUUUGUACAUCAAAGUAGUCUCCAAAUAAUACAUACUGGAGAGAAACCCUACAAAUGCAAUCAAUGUGGCAAAGCCUUUGCACAACACAGUACUCUGCAAAUACAUAAAAGAACACAUACUGGAGAGAAACCCUAUGAAUGUAAUCAAUGUGGUAAAGCCUUUGCACAACACGGUAAUCUCCAAAUACAUAAAAGAACACAUACAGGAG